rnacentral:rRNA from 1 species
CCUACGGGUGGCAGCAGUGAGGAAUAUUGCUCAAUGGGUGGAAGCCUGAACCAGCCAAGCCGCGUGAGGGAAGAAGGUACAGCGUAUCGUAAACCUCUUUUGUCAGGGCACAAAGGCGGGGACUAGUCCCCGGAUGAGGGUACCUGAAGAAAACGCAUCGGCUAACUCCGUGCCAGCAGCCGCGGUAAUACGGAGGAUGCGAGCGUUAUCCGGAUCUAUUGGGUGUAAAGGGUGCGCAGGCGGCCUGUUAAGUCAGCGGUAAAAGCCCGGGGCUCAACCCCGGCGAGCAGUUGAAAAUGGGAGGCUUGAGUUGGGGAGAGGUAGGCGGAAUGCGUGGUGUAGCGGUGAAAUGCGUAGAUA